ensembl:lncRNA
GUCAGACCAGGAGCCUGGCUAAAGGAAACUCCACCACCAGGAACCAUCAGCUGCUAUGGCCAGAGAAGAGAACAUGGAAGUCCUAGAGGUGCCUGAGAUGCCAUGUUUCUAUCAGCCUUCUAGACGAUGCCUAUACUGCUGGACCAUGGGCCACACUUUGAGUAUGGAGAGCUUCCUGGAUUUUGCCCAGAAGCAACACAUCACUUUUGCUCUCAAAAGAAUUAAAGCAAGUCACAGGACCAUGCCCAACUUCAAGGCAGCAAAUAGUGUAAUCCAUCAUCUACAUCAGGAAAAAGAAAACUGAAAUUUUUGUGAACAGCUCCAAUGAAGGGCAAACAAUGUGAAGCUAGGAUCUGAAUUUAGGCAGGCUGGCCUCAGAAUCUGUGCUCUUAAUUAUCACUGUAUACAGUCAUGGGUAUUGGUCUAUUCUCUAUAAAGAGAAUGUCUGCCAGGCAGACAGCCAGUCAGGGAGUUAGAGUUGACUCAUGUGACUCUACACCGGGUGACUUAGCUUUAGUGUUCAAUGCAGCAGUUCUCGGCAUGGUGCUGCCACUCUGAAGUGUUUCAAUUCAUUUUUCAUCUUGAUAAAGUGCCAACAUUUAUGAAUUAUUUUUAAAUUAAAAACAUAGCUGGGAGUGGUGGUUCACACCUGUAAUCCCAGAACUUUGGGAGGCCAAGGUGGGUGGAUUGUUUGAGCUCAUGAGAUCGAGACCAACCUAAGCAACAUGGCGAGACCCUAUUCUUUACAAAAAAUACAAAAAAUCAGCCAGGUGUAGUAGCAUGCUCCUUAGUCCCAGCUACCUGGAAGGCUGAGGCGGGAGGAUCACUUGACCCCAGGAGGCAGAGGUUGCAAUGAGCACCUCUGCACUCCAGCCUGAGUAACGUGGCAAGGCCAUGUCUCAAAAAAAAAUUAAUUAUUUAAAAAAACUCUUCUGGUAGAAUCAAGCCUCUAUACUCUCUCAUCUAACAUUCUGCCAUGUUUUCUUGUUUUGGAGAAGGGGAGGGGUUAAAGGCUGGAGUUGCUGGUCUGGAAGAGUCCUAGGCUUGUAGUCAGCACAACAAACUCAAUUCCUAGAUUAUGUUGGCUGAGAAUAUGUAGAUAUGCGCCUGCUGCCUAUACCCAUAACUGGGAACUUCUAAUAUGCUCAUAAACUACUGAAUAUUGUGUAUGGGAGUGGUGGGUCUCAGGCCCCAAAUUAAAGUCUUUAAAUAGAGAAAAAUGGACUGGGUUACUGUCAGCAGAGUGCUGAGUGAAUGCUACAUCUCCUUCGAUUGACUUUUUGAUGCCCAUAGAGAGCCCCUGUCCCAUGCCUGCAGCCACCCACUUUGCUGUCAGUUCCCAGGCUGAAGUGAGGAGGGACUGUUCAGAAACGUCAGACUGAGCAAGGUCUCUGUCUAUCUUAUGGAAAACCUGAUCUGGAAAUUACACUUGGAAUAAAUUAUGAUUACUCCUCCAUUAAAAAGAAAUCCACCCAAAAGAGAGAAAUAGUGGUAUAUUUCAGUUUUACAUAAUAAUUUCUUAAGGUAAGAUAACCCAUUGCAUUACUUUAUUCUGUUAGAAAUUUAACUAAAUGUGAGGGGGACAAUGGGUCUUGACUUUUUUUUCCUUUUGGAGAAUAAAGUUUGCCAUAUUGAAAAAUGCUGUCAGCUCUGCCCACCAGUUCUGUCAUUAAUCAUGGGAAGAGCUGAUCAGGUUUUGAUUGUUUCUUCAGAGGCACUUUUGUCGUAUAAUGCAUAUAUUUCAAUUAAAAUAUGCAGAAGAAUGCAAAGUUAAUAAUUAAGGGAAAAUGAUAAAGUGUUGCUAUUGCCAUUAAUUA